UACACAAAUAUGAAGGCGGGCUGGAACCUCUCGGGGUUACAGCCUUGCUGAAUUAUUCACCCUUGUCUUUUGCGUACUUCUUGUUUCCUUGGUGGGUUCGCCCACCACUAGGACAAACAUAAACCUUUUGUAAUUGCAAUCAGCGUCAGUAACAAAUUAAUAAUUACAACUUUCAACAACGGAUCUCUUGGUUCUGGCAUCGAUGAAGAACGCAGCGAAAUGCGAUAAGUAGUGUGAAUUGCAGAAUUCAGUGAAUCAUCGAAUCUUUGAACGCACAUUGCGCCCUUUGGUAUUCCAAAGGGCAUGCCUGUUCGAGCGUCAUUUGUACCCUCAAGCUUUGCUUGGUGUUGGGCGUCUUGUCUCUAGCUUUGCUGGAGACUCGCCUUAAAGUAAUUGGCAGCCGGCCUACUGGUUUCGGAGCGCAGCACAAGUCGCACUCUCUAUCAGCAAAGGUCUAGCAUCCAUUAAGCCUUUUUUCAACUUUUGACCUCGGAUCAGGUAGGGAUACCCGCU
rnacentral:rRNA from 1 species